AGAAUUUUUACCUAAGAAAAUGCAAUGGCUUGCUCCAAAGAGAAACUAUAAGCAGAAAGUUGGGGACUCGGAUGAAAGCAAUAUUAAUCUACUACACAGUGAUUUGUGUUGUAUUGAUUCCCAAAUUAUAGGUAACAAUUAUAUAAUGCAAAAAAUAAGUCUCAAGUGAACCGUAAGAUAACUAAUGAUAGCUCCUUUCAAUAAAAAAACAAAUGGUAAUUGGUAGCUAUUACCUAACC
rnacentral:lncRNA from 1 species